AUGAGUUUUGCUCAGGCAGAAAGCAAAAUCGAAGAAGCACCAGCAACUUCCGGUGUAACUACCACUGUCAGUUUCCUCGAUCACUUUCCUAGCAGCCACCACGGACAUGACCAAGCUGUUACGAAGAAGAUGAAAAACCUGGGCCUAGGCGGCGAGGGGGAGCUCGUGAAGCCAAUGGGACCUGAGAGCAUCUGUAAGACCAGGUUAUGUGUGAGCUUUGUCGCCGGCAGGUCGUGCGCCUUCGGCGGCAGAUGCCCCUUGGCCCAUGAGAAAGUUGAAUUGUGCAAUCCUGCUGCAUCUCGAGAAGUCGAAGAUCAAGUGAUUCUCAUGGUGUUCAUGAUGGUCGUGCAUCUUUUAUUUUGCAGAAAUGCCUAA
rnacentral:rRNA from 1 species